GAUGAAGAACGCAGCGAAAUGCGAUAAGUAAUGUGAAUUGCAGAAUUCAGUGAAUCAUCGAAUCUUUGAACGCACAUUGCGCCCGUCAGUAUUCUGGCGGGCAUGCCUGUUCGAGCGUCAUUACGCCCCUCAAGUCCCCUGUGGACUUGGUGUUGGGGAUCGGCGAGGCUGGUUUUCCAGCACAGCCGUCCCUUAAAUUAAUUGGCGGUCUCGCCGUGGCCCUCCUCUGCGCAGUAGUAAAACACUCGCAACAGGAGCCCGGCGCGGUCCACUGCCGUAAAACCCCCCAACUUUUUAUAGUUGACCUCGAAUCAGGUAGGACUACCCGCUGAACUUAAGCAUAUCAAAAGCGGAGGA
rnacentral:misc_RNA from 1 species